rnacentral:misc_RNA from 1 species
UGGUUCUGGCAUNGAUGAAGAACGCAGCGAAAUGCGAUAAGUAAUGUGAAUUGCAGAAUUCAGUGAAUCAUCGAAUCUUUGAACGCACAUUGCGCCCGCCAGCAUUCUGGCGGGCAUGCCUGUUCGAGCGUCAUUUCAACCCCUCAGGCCCCCGGGCCUGGCGUCGGGGCGUCCCCCUUACCGGGGAGCCCCCAGAGACAGUGGCGGACCCGCCGCGGCUCCGAGCGCAGUAGAAUACUUCUCGCUCCGGGGUCCCGCGGAGGGCAUCCUGCCGUGAAACCCCCAAAUUUUACAAGGUUGACCUCGGAUCAGGUAGGAAUACCCGCUGA